rnacentral:rRNA from 1 species
GAUGAACGCUGGCGGGCGUGCUUAACACAUGCAUGUCGAACGAAGCACUUUGGAUAGAUUUCUUCGGAUUGAUAUCCUUAGUGACUGAGUGGCGGACGGGUGAGUAACGCGUGGGUAACCUGCCUCAUACAGGGGGAUAACAGUUAGAAAUGGCUGCUAAUACCGCAUAAGCGCACAGUACCACAUGGUACCGUGUGAAAAACUCCGGUGGUAUGAGAUGGACCCGCGUCUGAUUAGCUAGUUGGCAGGGUAACGGCCUACCAAGGCGACGAUCAGUAGCCGACCUGAGAGGGUGAUCGGCCACAUUGGGACUGAGACACGGCCCAAACUCCUACGGGAGGCAGCAGUGGGGAAUAUUGCACAAUGGGGGAAACCCUGAUGCAGCGACGCCGCGUGAAGGAAGACGUAUUUCGGUAUGUAAACUUCUAUCAGCAAGGAAGAUGAUGACGGUACUUGACUAAGAAGCCCCGGCUAACUACGUGCCAGCAGCCGCGGUAAUACGUAGGGGGCAAGCGUUAUCCGGAUUUACUGGGUGUAAAGGGAGCGUAGGCGGCCAUGCAAGUCAGAAGUGAAAGCCCGGGGCUCAACCCCGGGACUGCUUUUGAAACUGUA